rnacentral:lncRNA from 1 species
GUCCAGGUUGUUUUGAUACCACUGAAAAAUCGAGAGAUACCAAUAUUAACCAAGAUUCCAAAACCACAAUCAUAAACAAAAAAUAAAGUGCAGGAAAUAAAAAUGAACACAGAGAAUUUUUCGACCGAAGCCCCAAAGGUUUGACGACCACUUCUAACAACUAAUCCCAUGUUGAGCAUCUAUUAAAAUGGAUAAAGCUUGGUUGUACUCUAAAGCCCCAAAAAUCAGGCAGCAGAUUUACAAUAUUGUUCCAAAAUAUUACAACAAAUUAGUCACAAAGACUUAUCUCAUAAAGAACAAUAGAACCGGCCACUAUUCCACAAAGGAUAUCUCUGAAUUACUAAGAUUUCCCCCAUGACCAAAGCUGCCUUCUCAAGAAUCACAGAAAAUUGAGUGCUAUUUCAUAGUGUAUGACUUUCCACCAAGGAACUAUACAAAACCAGCCUCUAUAGUAUACAAGAAUAGGCCCAAAAACACUAAGUUUUCACAUGAAAAACCGGCCAACAAAGAGUCACAUAGAUUCGACUCAACAAAGACCAAAAUAGCAUAACAUCCAUAUAGAUCUUGAGUAUUUCAUGCUAUUUUCUGUGUUUAUUUUCAGAUAAACUCCAGAAAAUUAACACUGAAAUCACUAAGAAGAAAGGGUCAGUUUCGCAUAAGAAGAGAGAGAAAAUGAGAGCCCGUUAUUUACUGAGAGAAUUGAGACGUGAGAGAGAGUGUGUGACUUGAGAGAGAGUGUG